GAUGAACGCUGGCGGCGUGCCUAAUACAUGCAAGUCGAGCGAACAGACGAGGAGCUUGCUCCUCUGACGUUAGCGGCGGACGGGUGAGUAACACGUGGAUAACCUACCUAUAAGACUGGGAUAACUUCGGGAAACCGGAGCUAAUACCGGAUAAUAUAUUGAACCGCAUGGAUCAAUAGUGAAAGACGGUUUUACUGUCACUUAUAGAUGGAUCCGCGCUGCAUUGGCUAGUUGGUAAGGUAACGGCUUACCAAGGCAACGAUGCGUAACCGACCUGAGGGGGUGAUCGGCCACACUGGAACUGCGACACGGUCCAGACUCCUACGGGAGGCAGCAGUAGGGAAUCUUCCGCAAUGGGCGAAAGCCUGACGGAGCAACGCCGCGUGAGUGAUGAAGGUCUUCGGAUCGUAAAACUCUGUUAUUAGGGAAGAACAAAUGUGUAAGUAACUAUGCACGUCUUGACGGUACCUAAUCAGAAAGCCACGGCUAACUACGUG
rnacentral:rRNA from 1 species